AAUUAAAAAUUUCAUUCAGUUUUACUGUUAAAAACUGGCGUGACUGGUGGAAUAAUCAGACAGUUAUACAUGGCAUGUCAUGGGUACCUCAUGUCAACGUACAUGGACCAGUUUUUAACAGAAAAAGUGGAUGAAAUUUUUAAUA
rfam:Gossypium raimondii Chr05_contig_371, whole genome shotgun sequence.